CAACCAAGACAAGGAGGCUGACUCGAGGAAGCCGAGGAUUUUGAGACAGCAUCGACGUGAGAGAAAGAGAGAGGCAGGACUUGAAGUCAGUGUCGAUGCUAGAGAAAGAGUGAGGCGGGAUUAGAAAAGGGAUUUUUACAAACAUGAUGAGGGGGAAGAGAGAGAUCGUGGGUAGAAAAAGAGGUUUUAGGUGUUGGUGAAGAAGCAUGGCGGUAGUGCAUAGGGGGGAGA
rnacentral:lncRNA from 1 species